CGCCCGGCUGACCAGGGGGACCUGCCCCACGGCGGGUGCGGGGAGGCGGGGGCCAGAGAGCCGGCCGCAGCCGGGUGGGCGGCCGGGCCAGCCCCGGACGGAGGGCAGCGGCAGUGCGGGUGCAGCCGACCGGCUGUUGUCUUUGUUUUCAAGUUCACAAUGUGUGACACAUUCAUUGUUAAGUACAGUGGAAAUAGCCUCCGCGAGUGUGAGCGCUGCUUGGAGGGGCAGCAAGUCUGCCAGAGCCUGCACCGGGCUGGCAGGGCCUCUCCAGCCUCUGCACGGCACGGGAGGACCAGGGUGGUGACUUGGCGACGCAGGCUGUGCGGGGUCCCCUGGUCAGCAGCGGUGGCCGUCCAUCCAUCCGUCCGUCUGUGUUCCUGGAGGCGACUCUUCCGGGGCUGGCGGGAGCCUAGGUCCUGUUCGGCCCCACCCCUCCUCCUGGUGUGUGUUCUGGUAGCACGUCAUGGGGAUGGAAUCGUGUGAGAUUCACCCUCACACAGCCGCAGCGUCUGCAGCCAGAGUUAGGAGGAUCAGGGGAGCUAUUUUCCGUCUGGCUGAGACUCUGCUUAGCAGGGCCGGAGGCUCCCUGCUGAGAAUGACAGCUGAGACCCGGAGUUCCCUCUGACCCUGCAGCCCACCAGCACUCUGUGGGUGCCCGGAGUAUUGGCAAGCAAGCAUUCCAUUCAGGUCACUUUUAUGGUCCCUGAGAAGUCCUUCCCCGUACAGCUACCCCACUGCCUCUUAGGUCAUUAGUUGUUUAAAGACCCACAGCAAGAGUGGCCUGGAAAGUCUCUGAGGCUGGGCCUCUGCAGCGCAGUAGCUCGACUAGUAGUCACCUUCCCCGUGGUGCCUCUUCUCUUCUGCGUGUGGCCCAGGCUGGUUCCCUCUCUUCCAGUGUUGUAAGAGUUGUGGUCCUGACCUAGGGCUGGUUUAGAGCAGAGGUGUGGACAGCGUGACAGGUGCCAGUCAAGAUUACUCCAGGGAGCAGGUGUGUGAAGGGCUCCGUCACUGAGACAAUGGCGGUAGGGAUGCCCUGACACAUUUGACCCCGCUGUGCAGGGCUGUGACCCAGAGGCACAUGGAAGCCCAUCAGUGGAAAGGUUUUCCCAAGCAUGAGGCUGACUCAGUGACGGACCGUGAGAUAGAUCGUGCACCUACAGAGUAGAUCUGUUUUCUGUCCUAUCACGUAGAUAAAGUGCACCUCACCCUCCACACUGCAGACACCAGCCCACAAGAGCCACCAGGCAGCAGAGAGAGCUGGGGCCAACAGGGAAGUUGGGCUUGCUGUGUAGGGCGAGGAGCCCAGCAGCCUUCACCUGAGUUUCACCUCCCUAAGAAUGAGGUGCUUGAAGGGAAACAUUUCCAGGGAUGCUCUGACAGGAAAAGUCAUCGCAUCUUGGCCCCCAGGAUUGGCUCUCACCCAGGGGACCCUGGCCGGGAGUCUCUGGGAAGUGUCCCUGGCCAAGUGCUUACAUGUAGUGUAGAUAUGUGCUGGGGUGCAUUGAACAGCAGAAUUGACUCUUUCUGUACCAUUCCUUUUUCAUAAAAUUUCCAAAGCACAGCCAAGAGUGAGGGAAGACAAUGGGAAGGGGUGAGCCUGCUUUCAUCACCUCCCUGUGUUCUGCUCUAAGUGACUGGAGCUAUGACAGGAGCUGAGACAGCCUUCCUGGGGCACCAGCGCCCUGCCAACCCGCACUGACCUGACGGCCACGUCCUCCCCUUUCCCAGGAAAAACUCCACGGCAGGCAACACACUGGCCAGGGAGCAGCAUCCCCUCGAAGUGUGAGGGCUGGUGUCUGAUGUGUGCUACCUGGACACAGGUUAGGAGCUUUGGCCUGCUCCCACAUGGCACAGGAGGGCUCCCAGCAGCUUGGUGCCUCCUUGGCUUGACCUAGAAGGCCUACUGCCCAUGCCAGAGCUGUCCAGAGACCAGGGAUGUGGCCUGGCCACUGACAGCCACCUCUGCUAGAAUGGGCACGUAACACCCAAAGCUUCUGCCUCCGGGUCAGGGCUGGGGCCGGCAGGGCUGUGUCUUCCUGCCCUCCCCCCAGGGUGGGCUGUGGUCUGUGUGAUGAGGUCAGUACCAGUGAGAGCCAGAACUGCCCUGACCUCACAGGCGCCCCUCCCUCCGCCCUGAGCUCCACAGGAACUGAGCUCCCCUGCCAUGCCUCCCUGCCAGCCUAGUGUGCCUCACGGAUGGUGCUUCUAUAGGGUCUGUCCCUGCUCGCUUGUCAGGUGCUGUAUAUAUGUUGGAUAUAUCAUACACAUAUCCUACCCAAUGGGUAGAACAAAGCAUUGUUGAUACUGUAAUAUAAUGUAUAAUGAUACCAAUUUUAACAGAAACGGUAUAGAAUCUGUGAAUGCCCAUGUGCAGCUUUGUCCUCUUUUGUAAGAAAAUUUGCAAAUGGAUGCACAUAAAGUCUAUGUAGUUUAUUUUCCUAUUAAAUAUCGAUAUUGUAACACAAGAGAAGUCUGAACAAGCAAGCAAAUUUAUGACCAGCAUCUAGUCAGCAACUGAGAGUUGCUUCUUUGCUAUAAAAACUUAAGAACCUCACAGCUUUUUAGUGGCCAUUAAAUGGCCCUUUCUUUACUCAUUUUAGAAAUACCCAGUUGGACAGUUACUGUUUAGUCAGCAGAAAGGACUGAUUCCAGUUUUCAUUUUGCUGUAGCACACAAAGGCCCUGGUGAGAGGGCUGAGUUCGUGUUGUUAAAACAGCAAAGCAGAGGACUCUGCAGCUUGGUGACCCCCAGGGCUGUGGAGCUGGAACUGGCCAGGCAUGGGCAGGAUCGUACAUUAUCCCUCGGGACAUCCUGCAGUCCUUCUGACCAGAAACCUGCUCAGUGCUGCCAAGGGUGAGAGAGCACAUGGAACGACCCUCCCUUCCAGCUCAGCUGAGUGUCUGCUUGGGACCUCUGCACUUUUCUUGAGAUGUUCCAGUACUUCCCUUACCACAGAAGACAGCGCCACAACACCAUGCCAAACCACUGCUGAGUCCUGGGUGUGGGUGUCAAGCUCUGUCCACAAAGGAAGUUGUGGAUUUUGCCAUCUGCCCCGCAUACCCAGGUUCUUCUGUCACCAGACAACGUUCUAAUAAAGCCCAUUUUAAGCUUUCUGUAUGGUUUGUAUAGGUUCUGAUCUGGAAAAUCAUAGCAGCCUCCACAAAUAAGUUAUCACAGAUUGUCCUCACCUGGAAGUGCCUGAGCCAGCUUCCCCCCUGCUGCUGCUAAGAAGGGUGGGGUCCCUGGGACCCUCUCGGAAGCUGCUGGCGUGGGCUGUGUCCUCAGCCUCCUGUGCUGGUACCCCUGCAUGCCAUCCAUAGAUCGCUCAUCUUCACUUCAUGACUUUCAAGUCAUGGCUUUCUAACUGCAUAGUUUAAAGCUGUUUUAAAAUAUAUACAGUGCUAUCUACAGUAUUUAGUUCAUUUAAUUUUUAUUAUAAAGUCCACUGAAAGUAUGACUGUACUUAAACUUUUUAGUCUUUGUGAGCUAAAGUCAUGAAAGUCCUUUAUAAAAAAACCCAAUGAUUUGUGCUUACUUUUCAGCAUAAUUCCCAACUAUCAGCAGCGGUGAUGUGGGGGUUUGACCUCAAGUCUGUAUUGCAGUGUUUUACAGAAAGGUGUUGCACCAAGUGGUAUUUGUUGUAAAAUUAGGUUUUUCUGCUUGUUCUUAAAGCUGUGGUCAAACCAUUGCACACAAAUCAUUAAAAAAAUCAGUGACA